rnacentral:rRNA from 1 species
AUUGAACGCUGGCGGCAUGCUUUACACAUGCAAGUCGAACGGCAGCGCGGGCUUCGGCCUGGCGGCGAGUGGCGAACGGGUGAGUAAUGCAUCGGAACGUGCCCAGUAGUGGGGGAUAGCCCGGCGAAAGCCGGAUUAAUACCGCAUACGACCUGAGGGUGAAAGCGGGGGACCGAAAGGCCUCGCGCUAUGGGAGCGGCCGAUGUCGGAUUAGCUAGUUGGUGGGGUAAAGGCUUACCAAGGCGACGAUCCGUAGCUGGUCUGAGAGGACGACCAGCCACACUGGGACUGAGACACGGCCCAGACUCCUACGGGAGGCAGCAGUGGGGAAUUUUGGACAAUGGGGGCAACCCUGAUCCAGCCAUGCCGCGUGCGGGAAGAAGGCCUUCGGGUUGUAAACCGCUUUUGUUCGGGAAGAAAUCCUCUGGGCUAAUACCCCGGGGGGAUGACGGUACCGGAAGAAUAAGCACCGGCUAACUACGUG